rnacentral:sRNA from 1 species
UAUAUUGUGGCCAAUUCUUCAUCACAUGGGACUUCCACAAGA